rnacentral:rRNA from 1 species
UCUUUUCCUUUUUUUCCCUCCGCCGCGGUAAUACGUAGGGGGCAAGCGUUAUCCGGAUUUACUGGGUGUAAAGGGAGCGUAGACGGCAAGGCAAGUCUGAUGUGAAAACCCAGGGCUUAACCCUGGGACUGCAUUGGAAACUGUCUGGCUCGAGUGCCGGAGAGGUAAGCGGAAUUCCUAGUGUAGCGGUGAAAUGCGUAGAUAUUAGGAAGAACACCAGUGGCGAAGGCGGCUUACUGGACGGUAACUGACGUUGAGGCUCGAAAGCGUGGGGAGCAAACAGG